UACGAGGGGUGCAAACGUUAUUCGGAAUAACUGGGCGUAAAGGGUGUGUAGACGGCUUAUUAAGCUUGCUGUUAAAGCCUCCGGCCUAACCGGAGACAAGCGGUGAGAACUGAUAUGCUAGAGGAUGGAAGAGAGAAGUGGAAUUCCCGGAGUAGCGGUAAAAUGCGUAGAUCUCGGGAGGAACACCGAUGGCGAAGGCAGCUUCUUGGUCCAUACCUGACGUUGAGACACGAAAGCGUGGGGAGCAAACAGG
rnacentral:rRNA from 1 species